GGGUUGUGAGGUUAAGCGACUAAGCGUACACGGUGGAUGCCCUGGCAGUCAGAGGCGAUGAAGGACGUGCUAAUCUGCGAUAAGCGUCGGUAAGGUGAUAUGAACCGUUAUAACCGGCGAUUUCCGAAUGGGGAAACCCAGUGUGUUUCGACACACUAUCAUUAACUGAAUCCAUAGGUUAAUGAGGCGAACCGGGGGAACUGAAACAUCUAAGUACCCGAGGAAAAGAAAUCAACCGAGAUUCCCCCAGUAGCGGCGAGCGAACGGGGAGCAGCCCAGAGCCUGAAUCAGUGUGUGUGUUAGUGGAAGCGUCUGGAAAGGCGCGCGAUACAGGGUGACAGCCCCGUACACAAAAAUGCACAUGCUGUGAGCUCGAUGAGUAGGGCGGGACACGUGGUAUCCUGUCUGAAUAUGGGGGGACCAUCCUCCAAGGCUAAAUACUCCUGACUGACCGAUAGUGAACCAGUACCGUGAGGGAAAGGCGAAAAGAACCCCGGCGAGGGGAGUGAAAAAGAACCUGAAACCGUGUACGUACAAGCAGUGGGAGCCUCUUUUAUGGGGUGACUGCGUACCUUUUGUAUAAUGGGUCAGCGACUUAUAUUCUGUAGCAAGGUUAACCGAAUAGGGGAGCCGAAGGGAAACCGAGUCUUAACUGGGCGUUAAGUUGCAGGGUAUAGACCCGAAACCCGGUGAUCUAGCCAUGGGCAGGUUGAAGGUUGGGUAACACUAACUGGAGGACCGAACCGACUAAUGUUGAAAAAUUAGCGGAUGACUUGUGGCUGGGGGUGAAAGGCCAAUCAAACCGGGAGAUAGCUGGUUCUCCCCGAAAGCUAUUUAGGUAGCGCCUCGUGAAUUCAUCUCCGGGGGUAGAGCACUGUUUCGGCAAGGGGGUCAUCCCGACUUACCAACCCGAUGCAAACUGCGAAUACCGGAGAAUGUUAUCACGGGAGACACACGGCGGGUGCUAACGUCCGUCGUGAAGAGGGAAACAACCCAGACCGCCAGCUAAGGUCCCAAAGUCAUGGUUAAGUGGGAAACGAUGUGGGAAGGCCCAGACAGCCAGGAUGUUGGCUUAGAAGCAGCCAUCAUUUAAAGAAAGCGUAAUAGCUCACUGGUCGAGUCGGCCUGCGCGGAAGAUGUAACGGGGCUAAACCAUGCACCGAAGCUGCGGCAGCGACGCUUAUGCGUUGUUGGGUAGGGGAGCGUUCUGUAAGCCUGUGAAGGUGUGCUGUGAGGCAUGCUGGAGGUAUCAGAAGUGCGAAUGCUGACAUAAGUAACGAUAAAGCGGGUGAAAAGCCCGCUCGCCGGAAGACCAAGGGUUCCUGUCCAACGUUAAUCGGGGCAGGGUGAGUCGACCCCUAAGGCGAGGCCGAAAGGCGUAGUCGAUGGGAAACAGGUUAAUAUUCCUGUACUUGGUGUUACUGCGAAGGGGGGACGGAGAAGGCUAUGUUGGCCGGGCGACGGUUGUCCCGGUUUAAGCGUGUAGGCUGGUUUUCCAGGCAAAUCCGGAAAAUCAAGGCUGAGGCGUGAUGACGAGGCACUACGGUGCUGAAGCAACAAAUGCCCUGCUUCCAGGAAAAGCCUCUAAGCAUCAGGUAACAUCAAAUCGUACCCCAAACCGACACAGGUGGUCAGGUAGAGAAUACCAAGGCGCUUGAGAGAACUCGGGUGAAGGAACUAGGCAAAAUGGUGCCGUAACUUCGGGAGAAGGCACGCUGAUAUGUAGGUGAAGCGACUUGCUCGUGGAGCUGAAAUCAGUCGAAGAUACCAGCUGGCUGCAACUGUUUAUUAAAAACACAGCACUGUGCAAACACGAAAGUGGACGUAUACGGUGUGACGCCUGCCCGGUGCCGGAAGGUUAAUUGAUGGGGUUAGCGCAAGCGAAGCUCUUGAUCGAAGCCCCGGUAAACGGCGGCCGUAACUAUAACGGUCCUAAGGUAGCGAAAUUCCUUGUCGGGUAAGUUCCGACCUGCACGAAUGGCGUAAUGAUGGCCAGGCUGUCUCCACCCGAGACUCAGUGAAAUUGAACUCGCUGUGAAGAUGCAGUGUACCCGCGGCAAGACGGAAAGACCCCGUGAACCUUUACUAUAGCUUGACACUGAACAUUGAGCCUUGAUGUGUAGGAUAGGUGGGAGGCUUAGAAGUGUGGACGCCAGUCUGCAUGGAGCCGACCUUGAAAUACCACCCUUUAAUGUUUGAUGUUCUAACGUUGACCCGUAAUCCGGGUUGCGGACAGUGUCUGGUGGGUAGUUUGACUGGGGCGGUCUCCUCCUAAAGAGUAACGGAGGAGCACGAAGGUUGGCUAAUCCUGGUCGGACAUCAGGAGGUUAGUGCAAUGGCAUAAGCCAGCUUGACUGCGAGCGUGACGGCGCGAGCAGGUGCGAAAGCAGGUCAUAGUGAUCCGGUGGUUCUGAAUGGAAGGGCCAUCGCUCAACGGAUAAAAGGUACUCCGGGGAUAACAGGCUGAUACCGCCCAAGAGUUCAUAUCGACGGCGGUGUUUGGCACCUCGAUGUCGGCUCAUCACAUCCUGGGGCUGAAGUAGGUCCCAAGGGUAUGGCUGUUCGCCAUUUAAAGUGGUACGCGAGCUGGGUUUAGAACGUCGUGAGACAGUUCGGUCCCUAUCUGCCGUGGGCGCUGGAGAACUGAGGGGGGCUGCUCCUAGUACGAGAGGACCGGAGUGGACGCAUCACUGGUGUUCGGGUUGUCAUGCCAAUGGCACUGCCCGGUAGCUAAAUGCGGAAGAGAUAAGUGCUGAAAGCAUCUAAGCAUGAAACUUGCCCCGAGAUGAGUUCUCCCUGACCCUUUAAGGGUCCUGAAGGAACGUUGAAGACGACGACGUUGAUAGGCCGGGUGUGUAAGCGCAGCGAUGCGUUGAGCUAACCGGUACUAAUGAACCGUGAGGCUUAACCUUACAACGCCGAAGCUGUU
rnacentral:rRNA from 1 species